AGCGUCCACCAGAACAACACUGGAGAACAUGGAAGAAGAUGCCGAAAGUUGAGGACAUGCCGUGCAUCACCCUUCAUAGCAUCGCGGCCUCUCCGAAUGUGGAGUAUGUCCGCUGGAAGGUGCACGGAGACUUCGUCUCUCAGCUGAAUUACUAUGACUCUGUGAAAGCUGUCAUUUCCAGCUCCAAUCACGAGCCCACGGCUCUGGUGAUAGGCUCUCCUAAGCCACUUGGAACACAGUGGAGGUGAGUGUCCUGGAGAAGCCACCGGGAUCAGCAGCCCUGCUGAGUGUAUUGAGGAUCCUCUUCCUUCAUUCCCAGGUCAGACCCCAGCUGGAAACCCACAGGAAGACAUUGAUGCAACCAUUGGAUCAGGUUGUUGACAGGAUUCAUAAGUCAGUCAAUCCUUCAGCUGAACAUAUCUCUCCAAAUAAAUGUAGGAAAA